AUUGAACGCUGGCGGCAUGCUUUACACAUGCAAGUCGAACGGCAGCGCGGGCUUCGGCCUGGCGGCGAGUGGCGAACGGGUGAGUAAUGCAUCGGAACGUGCCCAGUAGUGGGGGAUAGCCCGGCGAAAGCCGGAUUAAUACCGCAUGCGACCUGAGGGUGAAAGCGGGGGACCGAAAGGCCUCGCGCUAUUGGAGCGGCCGAUGUCGGAUUAGCUAGUUGGUGGGGUAAAGGCUUACCAAGGCGACGAUCCGUAGCUGGUCUGAGAGGACGACCAGCCACACUGGGACUGAGACACGGCCCAGACUCCUACGGGAGGCAGCAGUGGGGAAUUUUGGACAAUGGGGGCAACCCUGAUCCAGCCAUGCCGCGUGCGGGAAGAAGGCCUUCGGGUUGUAAACCGCUUUUGUUCGGGAAGAAAUCCUCUGGGCUAAUACCCCGGGGGGAUGACGGUACCGGAAGAAUAAGCACCGGCUAACUACGUG
rnacentral:rRNA from 1 species